GCUGCGGGCUGCAUUCCUUGUAGCGCCCAAGCCAUCAGCAAUAACGAAAAAAAUCCUGCAGGGAAAGAAGCUUCCUGUGAAGACAACAUCAUCACACAAGUUGGCGUAUGGAAUAAUCCAACCAACAGGCAAUGUUGAUUUAUCCUCAGCAUACUGUAGUGUGGAUGCUGACUGAAGAAUUCUAGGAAUUGAAGUCCAUACUUCUUCAGGUUGCCAGGGUUGAGAAAAGCGGCCUACUGUUUUCAAGAUAAGUUUUUAGAAACCCCAACUUACAGCUCAGAAGGAUUUGCAGAAAACUGCUUCACAGUAUGGAUUCUACAAUGAUUUAUACAAUUUGGUAAGGCAGCAUCAUUUAAAUUAAUUUUAUUUCUGAAAUGAAUUGUUCUGAAUUAUUGUGAUCAUAUUAAAUAUUGUUCCUAUUAAUUCUGUCUACUUAUGGAAAGUGGAGAUGUACUUGCCAGACACUGUAAAAUCAAAUAUUUUAUGAUACAAAACCAAAAGAUUAACCAUUUAAAACACGUCAUCUGUUUUACAUUAUUCUUCCUUUGUUUUAUGGAUUAGAGUUGCAGGUGUGACCACAUACCACAAAGCAAUUCAGUAAAUCAAUACCUCUUGUAGAUCUAAAACACAGGUCAAAAAUUUCACUGCAUACUUUCACACAAAUGUUUGGGCACCUUCUCAGAUUUUAAAAUUAUCCAAAAUUUGACAUCCCAGAUGUUUGCCUUGUUGAAAAGAAAUACAAAUUUAAUUUUGGAGACUGUUGAUGCUAUCUAUGCGUAUUACAGAUGCCAUGGUCCCAAUUCCUGAUGUUAAGAAGAUCCUCAGUUUUGCUAUGUUUUGUACCAAGUUUUGUAUGUUUUGAUCUGCUGUGAAUUUUCUAUUGGUGCAAUAGAAACAAACAGGAGAAAUUUGUAACACUACUUUUUGGACUGUAGAAAAUAAAGUCCCCGAAUGGUGUUUGGAAUCCGAUAUGGCUAAAUACCCAGGAAUGUAUGACAAGUAUUUCUCUGCUCUUGCAAAGCUCAGUUGUGUCAAGGCUACUAUUUAAU